GCCUCGGUAGCUCAAUUGGUAGAGCAGGUCCCUUUUAAGGACAAGGUUUGUGGGUUCGACCCCCACCCGGGGCA
rnacentral:tRNA from 1 species